rnacentral:sRNA from 2 species
CUAUCAGCUUUGAUAUUCUUUAUCUCUUUUUUUUUUUCUUUUUCUCUAUUAUACUCUCUUUCUAUCUUAUUUCUAUCUUCUUAUUUAUUUUUUUAGUAUCUUUAUUUAUUCUUUUUUAUUUAUCUCAACUAAUAUUUCUUUUUCUCUCUUCUAUCUGUCUGUUAUACUGAAGCUAUAUUAGAUUAUAUAAUUUCAUAAUAUCACAGACAGUAUUAUUUUUUCUCUACUUUAUUUUAACUUUUCUUUCUUCUUUUAUACUAUUUCUAUUUUUUUUCAGAAUAAUAAAGUAAACUAUUUUUUAAUGAACUGAGAGAAUAUUCUCUCUCUAUUUUUCUAUAAAGCCUCUUAGAUACAGCAGC